GACGAACGCUGGCGGCAUGCCUAAUACAUGCAAUUCGAACGCUGAAGCACCCUGCUUGCAGCGUGCGGCUGAGUGGCGAACGGGUGAGUAACACGUGGGGACUCUGCCUAUAAGUGGGGGAUAACAUUCGGAAACGGAUGCUAAUACCGCAUAUAUUCUUGGACCGCCUGGUCCUUGAAAGAAAGACGGCUUUGCUUUCGCUUUUAGAUUUUCCCGCGGCGUAUUAGUUAGUUGGUGGGGUAAAGGCCUACCAAGACAAUGAUACGUAGCCGACCUGAGAGGGUGAUCGGCCACACUGGGACUGAGACACGGCCCAGACUCCUACGGGAGGCAGCAGUAGGGAAUCUUCCACAAUGGGCGAAAGCCUGAUGGAGCAAUGCCGCGUGAAUGAAGAAGGUCUUCGGAUCGUAAAGUUCUGUUAUUAGAGAAGAACAAGUCAAGGAAUAACUGUCUUGACUUUGACGGUACAUAACCAGAAAGACACGGCUAACUACGUG
rnacentral:rRNA from 1 species